rnacentral:tRNA from 1 species
AGGGGUGUAGUGUUAGUGGCUAGCACGUGGGUUUCCAAAACCUAAAGGUCGGGUUCAAGUCCUGGCACCCCUGCCA